GACGUAGGGCGCGAGCGUUGUCCGGAAUUACUGGGCGUAAAGCGCACGUAGGCGGACAUUUAAGUCAGGGGUGAAAUCCCAGAGCUCAACUCUGGAACUGCCUUUGAUACUGGGUGUCUAGAGUAUGGAAGAGGUGAGUGGAAUUCCGAGUGUAGAGGUGAAAUUCGUAGAUAUUCGCAAGAACACCAGUGGCGAAGGCGGCUCACUGGCCCGAUACUGACGCUGAGGCACGAAAGCGUGGGGAGCGAACGGG
rnacentral:rRNA from 1 species